rnacentral:lncRNA from 1 species
AGUUACUGUUGAUUAUACAAUGUGAUUCCGUUUUUACCCCUUUUUUGUUUCUUUGGUCUUUUCGCUCUUCAGUCUUUUGCUUGGUUUUUGUCUAUCUGAGAAGGGAAUAAUCUAGAUGUACACGUGUGGAUCAUCUGGGAAGGGAAAGAGGUAGAAUAUACACGUGUUCAUUUAUCUUCCGUUAAAGAUUUGAUUGUUUAUUUCAUCUGGGAAGGGAAAGAGGUAGAAUAUACACGUGUUCAUUUAUCUUCCAUUAAAGAUUUGAUUGUUUAUUUAAUCUAGGAAGGGUAUAAUCUAGAUGUUCAUUUAUCCGAGAAGGGAAUGAUAACAACCACCACUAUUACAUCUCACAAUACAUAAAGAUUUGAUUGUUUAUUUAAAGUAUUUGUUGGCUUUUAAAAAUUUGUCCCGUUGUGAGAUUUUUCUUCCGUUAAAUCAGGCUUUUGUUGGGUGUGUGAGAAUGUGAAAAGUUUCUCUUUGUGUGAUUUAAAUGUUUUUUCUUGGUAGGCUUAUAUCAAACAAUAUUAACAAAUAGAUAUUUGUCGUAUUAGUAGUGUCAGUACCCACAUGACUUUGGACAUUAUUAAAUGGGACGGUGGGUAUUGGUCUCCUUGCCUCUUUUUUGUGUGUAUUUUAUAUUGGCAAAUAAGAACAAUGGGGUUGUAUGAAGAAAAGAUAGAUGGUCAACAGUAUACCCGGUUUUAGUAUAGAAAUAAUAAAUAAAUAUAAAUAUGCACUUUUGUUAUAUGUUAUGAUUUGUUGUAUAGAGAAUUGAGAAAAAAGUUAAAGACAAUUCCGUGUUUUUGAGUUACAGCAAUUAGUAAAUAUAUAAUGACAUUGAUUAGUUCACUUAAGAGUUUAAUCCUUCGUUGGUUUAUUUGUAUUGUGUGCCUGAGAAUGAAAGCAAUGGAUAAGGAAUUGUUCCUUUUAUUAGCAAUUAUAUGAAGUAGGCAUAUUAUGCAAUACAAGUUCUACAUUCAUUUAGUAAAUAUUGAGUUUAUUUUUAUCGAAUAGUGACAUUUGAUUCAGGUUUAAGGUUCUUAAAUGUUAGUAUUUUGAAAAUUGAUUUCAAUAGUCUUUUAUGAAUUUUUUUUUUUGCUUACAUAAUUAUGUGCUGCUUCAGGGACACCUACUGCAUUGGGCAC